rnacentral:rRNA from 1 species
CGACCGGCGCACGGGUGCGUAACGCGUAUGCAACCUACCUGUAACAGGGGGAUAACACUGAGAAAUCGGUACUAAUACCGCAUAACACUAUGAGAGGCAUCUCUUGUGGUUGAAAGUUUCGGCGGUUACAGAUGGGCAUGCGUUGUAUUAGCUGGUUGGUGAGGUAACGGCUUACCAAGGCGACGAUGCAUAGGGGGACUGAGAGGUUAACCCCCCACAUUGGUACUGAGACACGGACCAAACUCCUACGGGAGGCAGCAG